GACGAACGCUGGCGGCGUGCCUAACACAUGCAAGUCGAGCGGAGACAGCAAGUAGCAAUACGAACUGUUUUAGCGGCGGACGGGUGAGUAACGCGUGAGCAACCUGUCCCAAACAGGGGGAUAACGAACCGAAAGGUUCACUAAUACCGCAUAAGACCACAGAGUCACAUGGCUCAGGGGUCAAAGGAGAAAUCCGGUUUGGGGUGGGCUCGCGUCUGAUUAGCUAGUUGGUGAGGUAAAGGCUCACCAAGGCGACGAUCUGUAGCGGGUCUGAGAGGAUGAUCCGCCACACUGGGACUGAGACACGGCCCAGACUCCUACGGGAGGCAGCAGUGGGGAAUUUUGGACAAUGGGCGCAAGCCUGAUCCAGCAAUGCCGCGUGAACGAUGAAGGUCUUCGGAUUGUAAAGUUCUGUGAUUGGGGAAGAAUGGUAUUCUUAGGGAAUGAGGAGUACAUGACGGUAC
rnacentral:rRNA from 1 species